rnacentral:rRNA from 1 species
UCACAGUGGUUUUGACGGGUAACGGGGAAUCAGGGUUCGAUUCCGGAGAGGGAGCCUUAAAAACGGCUACCACAUCCAAGGAAGGCAGCAGGCACGCAAAUUACCCAAUGGUCGAAGACCGAGGUAGUGACGAAAAAUAACAAUACAAGACUCUUCCGAGGCCUUGUAAUUGGAAUGAGUACACUUUAAAACCGUUCCCGAGGAUCUAUUGGAGGGCAAGUCUGGUGCCAGCAGCCGCGGUAAUUCCAGCUCCAAUAGCGUAUAUUAAAGUUGUUGUGGUUAAAAAGCUCGUAGUUGGAUUUCGGCGGGUAGUGGUCGGUUUGAAUUGCUUCAACACUGGCUUUUUUACCCGUGUGUUUUGCCAGAAUUUAACGGGUGAUCUUCGCCGAUUGUCCGUUAGAACUGGCAGGUUUACUUUGAAGAAAUUAGAGUGCUCAAAGCAAGCUUGAUUGCUUGAAUAUUCGUGCAUGGAAUAAUAGAAUAGGAAGUCGUUUCUAUUUUGUUGGUUUUCGGAAAUCGACUUAAUGAUUAAUAGGGAUAGUCGGGGGCAUUUGUAUUCAAACGACAGAGGUGAAAUUCUUGGACCGUUUGAAGACAAACUACUGCGAAAGCAUUUGCCAAGGAUGUUUUCAUUAAUCAAGAACGAAAGUAGAGGUUCGAAGGCGAUUAGAUACCGCCCUAGUUCUAACCAUAAACGAUGCCAGCUAGCGAUCUGCCGGUGCUUGAUUUUCUGGCCCGGCAGGCAGCUUCCGGGAAACCAAAGCUUGUGGGUUCCAGGGGAAGUAUGGUUGCAAAGCUGAAACUUAAAGGAAUUGACGGAAGGGCACCACCAGGAGUGGAGCCUGUGGCUUAAUUUGACCCAACACGGGAAAUCUCACCAGGCCCGGACACCAGAAGGAUUGACAGAUUGAUAGCUCUUUCUUGAUUUGGUGGGUGGUGGUGCAUGGCCGUUCUUAGUUGGUGGAGUGAUUUGUCUGGUUAAUUCCGAUAACGAACGAGACUCUGUCCUGUUAAAUAGAUCCAACCUAGUUGUAGGGUUGGAAUGUCUUCUUAGAGGGACUGGUGAUUAUUAGUCACACGAGAUUGAGCAAUAACAGGUCUGUGAUGCCCUUAGAUGUUCUGGGCCGCACACGCGCUACACUGAAGUGAUCAGCUAGUUCUUCCCUCUCCGAGAGGAGCGGGUAAACUGUUGAACCCACUUCGUGGUAGGGAUCGGAGCUUGCAAUUAUUCUCCGUGAACCAGGAAUUCCCAGUAGGUGCAAGUCAUAAGCUUGCAUCGAUUACGUCCCUGCCCUUUGUACACACCGCCCGUCGCUACUACCGAUUGAGUGUUUUAGUGAGGACCUCGGAUUGCUUGCCUGGCGGUUAACGCUGCCUAGCUGGCGAAAAGACGUCCAAACUGUAGCACUUAGAGGAAGUAAAAGUCGUAACAAGGUU